rnacentral:rRNA from 1 species
AUACAGAGGGUGCAAGCGUUAAUCGGAAUUACUGGGCGUAAAGCGCGCGUAGGCGGUUUGCUCAGUCGGAUGUGAAAGCCCAGGGCUCAACCUUGGAACUGCAUACGAUACUGGCAAACUAGAGUGUGAGAGAGGAUAGUGGAAUUUCCGGUGUAGCGGUGAAAUGCGUAGAUAUCGGAAGGAACAUCAGUGGCGAAGGCGACUGUCUGGCUCAACACUGACGCUGAGGUGCGAAAGCGUGGGUAGCAAACAGGAUUAGAUACCCUAGUAGUCC